rnacentral:rRNA from 1 species
CCGGUUGAUCCUGCCGGCGGUCACUGCUAUCGAGUUCCGACUAAGCCAUGCGAGUCACAGGCCGUAAGGUACUGGCAGACGGCUCAGUAACACGCGGAUAAUCCACCCUUAGGUGGGGUAUAGCCUUGGGAAACUGAGAUUAAUCCCCCAUAGAUCCCGGAAACUGGAAUGUUACGGGUUUGAAAGUUACGACGCCUAAGGACGAGUCUGCGGCCUAUCAGGUAGUAGGUGGGGUAAAGGCCCACAUAGCCUAUGACGGGUACGGGCCCUGAAAGGGGGAGCCCGGAGAUGGACUCUGAGACACAAGUCCAGGCCCUACGGGGCGCAGCAGGCGCGAAAACUGUGCAAUGCGCGAAAGCGCGACACGGGAAACCUGAGUGCCUUGACAAUGUCAAGGCUUUUCUUAAGCCUAAAAAGCUUAAGGAAUAAGAGCUGGGCAAGACGGGUGCCAGCCGCCGCGGUAACACCCGCAGCUCGAGUGGUGGUCACUUUUAUUGAGCCUAAAGCGUUUGUAGCCGGUUUUGCAAAUCUUCAGAUAAAUUCCUCUGCUUAACAGAUGAUCUUCUGAAGAGACUGCGAGACUUGGGACCGGGUGAGGUUGAAGGUACUUCCGGGGUAGGGGUAAAAUCCUGUAAUCCUGGAAGGACGACCGGUGGCGAAGGCGUUCAACUAGAACGGAUCCGACGGUGAGGAACGAGGGCUAGGGUAGCAAACCGGAUUAGAUACCCGGGUAGUCCUAGCUGUAAACACUGCCCACUUGGUGUUGCCCCUCCGAUGAGGGGAGGCAGUGCCGGAGCGAA